AAUGAACGUUGGCGGCGUGGAUUAGGCAUGCAAGUCGAGCGCGAUCAGUUUGGUGCUUGCAUUAAACUGUGAAAGCGGCGAAAGGGAGAGUAACGCGUAGUUACCUACCUCAGGGUUCAGAGUAGCCACGGGAAACUGUGGGUAAUGCUGAAUAACAUCUCCGGAUCAAAGGUGUGAUUCCGCCCUGAGAGGGGACUGCGUCCUACUAGCUUGUUGGUGGGGUAAUGGCCUACCAAGGCGUUGAUGGGUAGCGGGUGUGUGAGCAUGACCCGUCUCACUGGGACUGGGCCACUGCCCAGACACCUACGGGUGGCUGGAGUCGAGAAUCUUCGGCAAUGCGCGAAAGCGUGACCGAGCGACGCCGCGUGCGGGAUGAAGGCCCUCGGGUUGUAAACCGCUGUCGUAGGGGAGGAAGGCUCCAUGAAGAAUGGGGUUUGACCUAUCCUAGGAGGAAGGACGGGCUAAGUUCGUGCCAGCAGCCGCCGUAA
rnacentral:rRNA from 1 species